AGACCAGUUCAACUAGCACAAGCAAACAAACUAGUUGUUGCAUCUACAAAAAUCUGAAAUGACCAUCUAACAACUAAGUUACUUACAACUAGCACAUUCAAAACUGUUGCCUCCCGUUGUUUUUUUCUUAGAGAAAAAUCUGUACUGAACAUCUAACAAAUAGGACACUUUGCCUCUUGCAUCCGUCUGUCACAUCUGGUUGCAAAGAAAUAACAAAUUACGAGUACAAAGAAGUAGCAACCGCAGCCUAUGACUUGAGAGAGUAGUAGCUACAUCCUACGGUGGCCGACUGACGCAGGUGUACUAAACUCUUUAACUUGAUCCACGACAAUCUUUGAACCUCCUAUAAGAAAAAAGUAUAUAUCAUACACAUUGAACCGUUUCUGGGGUUCUUAACGAGCUGAUGAUAGAAAACAUGUUGAACUGAACUUUGGGCUUUCAGAAACUACCGAAUGUUUUUGGGUUCAUUUAUGUACCUUUUUGUUAUCUUUUUCUCAACUCCAAGCCACAAUUACAAUCACAAUACACACAUGUACUACAGAAUUAACCAAAACGACUAAUUUAAUCCAGAAACAGUUUCUGAACUUGGUUUGAGCUUUGUUUCUUCAGAUUUUUGAACUUUUGCAGAAGGUAUGCCUGAACUUGCGUGAAUGACAAAAAUGACACAUAGUUUGUUCUGCUAUUUUGUAAGAUGAAUUGAAAACAUAAAAUGGAGUACCUCCAUAGAGUAUCUCAACGAAUUGGAGCUUGUGCAUAACAGGAGGAGGACCCAGGAAUUAUGUAGCAUCACACGUGUUAUGCAUGUUUAUGUAAACAGAGAUGCCAACUUUCUACAUAUAGUUACUUCUAGCUCCCAGCAAAAUUUGUAAAAUGGAAGGCGGAUAGGUCUAGCUACUCUAUUAUGAAGCUCACCUUCAUACUUGACAGACCAAUGAACCACUGAAGAAGGGGCUCCCUGGGGGCGCUACCUAUCUCCAACCGAAAAAGGACCGACGACAGUGGCGCAUGAGCCAGUAUGACUGCCGUGGGGCAGGAACCCUGACGACGACGACCUGAUUAUUGAAAAAAUCCAGGGUGGAGCACAGGUGGCCUGCACGUAGCUCUUCUCGUGAACGGCGCCGGAGGGUGCAGUUGUACUGCCGAGAAGAAGAGAUCCUCGCCCUCCUGCCGCUGAGCGCAACGUCACAGAAUACCAACUUCCAUCAGUCGUAGUCAAAGCCCUUAAUAAAAAGGUCCCAUUGGCAUGUCGAAGUUGCUUAUUUACUUGAUAUU
rnacentral:lncRNA from 1 species